rnacentral:antisense_RNA from 1 species
GGCGGCGGGUUCCCGCAAAAGGUCUUGGGGAAAGGAGCAUGCGCUGGAAGCUGUGUGCUGUUGGUUUGAGGAUCUUCAGUAAGCUAAAAGCGGAGAGUCAGGGGCCUUCUGCCCUACCAUGGUAUUUGCUAACGUUUAGAGAGUGCUUCCCCUUGCCGAGCACUGGCAAGAAGGCCCUCACCAAAUGCCAGCACCUUGACAUUGGACUUUCCAGCCUCCAGAAAUAUCACUCCUUUAUUAUACAGAUCAAGAAAAAGGAUUUAGUACUGUUAUGCUCAAAUGAACACUGGACCCAUGUGUCAGGGCCAAGCAACUAGAACAUGAUUCAGAAAUCAGUCAGAGAAAGACACACUUGGACAGGACCAAGAGGCAUUUCAUUGUCACGAAACAAGGUGGGGGAGGGAUUCCAAAACACACAGCAGGAAGUACUUCUAACCCUCAGAGGUCAAGGAGCUUAUCCCAUAUUGGUAUGAGGAAUGGCUUAUUUUCUGAUGACCACAUGUGGGACUAUUUCAACUGCCACGAGAAAUCCCAGAAGGGUUAUUAUUUUGUAUUAUUUAUAUAUACUAUACCUUUUUUAAAAAAAUAAAUGUAACACAUAAA